UGCUCACAGACCCAGGUUCCUGGAUCAGGAACACAGUUUGUGGUGACUGGGAGUGGGGCUGUGGCUGAGCCUCAUCCCCAAUGGGCCCCAGCUGUGAGCAGCAGGUGAGCAGCACUGAAGGCAAUGAGACCUGGAGUGCCCAGGGGCACUGACCAACCACCAAAGGGAACAGAGGGCACACGGGUGCAGUGCAUCAACAUGAGAGUAUAAAAGUUUGGGCUAAACAACAAGAAGGGUCAAUGCUUGCAGCCUUCUGAAGUGAUGUGGUGGUCCUGUGUGUGGGCCAAUGCUUGAAGGCUUCUGAAGUGGCUGUAGCAGAACCAGACCCUCCAGAAUUGCCCAAUUUAAUAGCUGCAGAUGAAAAUGUCACCUAUAGCAGCCGGAUAGAUCUGCUGCUAGAGCACAGCUUUGCUUUGCAAAUGCAGGAAUUGCUGAGUUGGAAAGUCCUAGAUAAGAUUCAGAGGGCCACAACAGAUUGGCAGUACAAUCCUUAUCAGCUGUUUUUGAAUGGGACUGUUUGGCUUGCUGAUGCUUUUCAUCUGGAGUAUGAAGUACUGCUUUGAUGGCUGAUGGGGUUUUUUGCCCUUUCUGUGUCUGGAUGUUGAUGGAGAAGUGAGUGGCACAGACAUUUUGGAGAACAGUCUAGGCUGUAAAGAAUAAACUUAAUUCCUGCCAAGGCAGUUGCUGUUCAUCAGUGUCAGAUGCAGGAAAGAAGUUGACUCCUGCUCAGCCUGAAGCCUGCAGAUGCUUUUGUGAGAACUGCCGCAGGGCCAGCUGUCUCCCAUCCCCUGCUCAUCCUCCUAACUUAUUUCUUCCCAACUCCGUCUAGCUUUCUGCAGUUGAAGACUCAGAAAUCAGGUUGCAUCAUCGUCAUCAACAGACAUGGUCCUCUCUUACUCAGGGUUUUUAGCACUUUCUGCUGUCCUCUGCAGGCUCAGGCACUUGUUGCAGAUGAGCACCAUGAUCUGGAGAGGAUGGAUGUCUUGGUCACAAGACUCAAGAUGUGAACAAUUCCUAAACAAGUACACUGUAAGAAUAAUGACUAUGUGCAAAUGUCUUGAUGCAUCUUUCCAGUUUGAUGAGGAAUGACCGACAAGUACUUUUUGAUGUGCCCUGUCGUCUGCGGUUUCAUGUAGAUCCUUCUCUUCAUGAAUGUGCCAUGCGAAGCAGCACUGGGAACCAUGUAAAAAUGAAGCUGUAUCUUAUUUGUUUCCUUCUUAUUUGUAAGGUGUAUUACUGAACAAAAGUUAACUUUAUUUGACAGUAAUUUACAAAGUUGCUCACAAAGGCGAGUGACCUCAAAAUCCUCAUGUGCUUAUAAAAUAGUAUGUGUGUUUCUUUUCACACUUUUUCCUGCAGAUUUACAUCAGACUGAAAGAUCAGUGGGGCCCAUGUGAAACCUACUUUUGGCCCAUAGAGAUAAACAUUUACUUGCCUUUUCUCUGUCCUCUGCACUGUUGUGCCUGGAUCUGUGCUACUGACCUCUCCUGGAUCUGUGCUACUGUGUGGAGGAGGAUUUUGCUGUCCAUGGCAAUGACAGCUGGAGGGCAGAGGCACUGUGGACCAGGGUGCUGGUGUGGGGCAGCCCUGCAAGGGGCUGGGGAGCCUGUGUCAACCCAGA